UAAGCCAUAGAAAAAGGAAACCUUGCUUGCACAAGGCUUCCCAUGUAGAGCCGUUUAAGACGGUAGCAUUUACUGCGUUAAAUA
rnacentral:sRNA from 1 species